CCUACGGGUGGCAGCAGUGGGGAUAUUGCACAAUGGGGGAAACCCUGAUGCAGCGACGCCGCGUGUGGGAAGACGGUCCUCUGGAUUGUAAACCAAUGGCCCCAGGGACGAAGAUGAAGGGACCUGGGGGGGGAGCCCCGGCUAACCACGUGCCAGCAGCCGCGGGAAUAAGAAGGGAGCAAGGGUUUUCCGGAAUUACUGGGUGUAAAGGGAGCGUAGGCGGGAUGGCAAGUUGGGUGUUAAAUCUACCGGCUCAACUGGUAGUCGCACUCAAAACUGCUAUUCUUGAGUGAAGUAGAGGCAGGCGGAAUUCCUAGUGUAGCGGUGAAAUGCGUAGAUAUUAGGAGGAACACCAGUGGCGAAGGCGGCCUGCUGGGCUUUUACUGACGCUGAGGCUCGAAAGUGUGGGGAGCAAACAGGAUUAGAUACCCUAGUAGUC
rnacentral:rRNA from 1 species